ACUCAAAUGAAUUGACGGGGGCUCACACAAGCGGUGGAGCAUGUGGCUCAAUUCGAAGCAACGCGAAGAACCUUAUCCUAGGUUUGACAUGCACGGAUUAACUCCUAGAAACAGGAGUGACACUCUCGUAGUGGAACGUGCACAGGUGCUGCAUGGCUGUCGUCAGCUCGUGCUGUGAAGUGUCGGGUUAAGUCCCUUAACGAGCGAAACCCCUAUCGCUAGUUGCCACCAUUUAGUUGGGCACUCUAGCGAGACUGCCGGUGUUAAACCGGAGGAAGGUGGGGAUGACGUCAAGUCCUCAUGGCCUUUAUGCCUAGGGCUGCACACGUGCUACAAUGGCGCGAACAGAACGAUGCAAGACCGUAAGGUGGAGCAAAUCGCCUAAAUCGCGCCCCAGUUCGGAUAGAGGGCUGCAACCCGCCCUCUUGAAGUCGGAAUCGCUAGUAAUCGCGGAUCAGCUACGCCGCGGUGAAUAUGUUCCUGAGCCUUGUACACACCGCCCGU
rnacentral:rRNA from 1 species